rnacentral:rRNA from 1 species
CCUACGGGAGGCAGCAGUGAGGAAUAUUGGUCAAUGGACGAGAGUCUGAACCAGCCAAGUAGCGUGAAGGAUGACUGCCCUAUGGGUUGUAAACUUCUUUUAUAUGGGAAUAAAAUGUUCCACGUGUGGGAUUUUGUAUGUACCAUAUGAAUAAGGAUCGGCUAACUCCGUGCCAGCAGCCGCGGUAAUACGGAGGAUCCGAGCGUUAUACGGAUUUAUUGGGUUUAAAGGGAGCGUAAGUGGAGUGUUAAGUCAGGUGUGAAAGUUUGCGGCUCAACCGUAAAAUUGCAGUUGAAACUGGCAGUCUUGAGUACAGUAGAGGUGGGCGGAAUUCGUGGUGUAGCGGUGAAAUGCUUAGAUAUCACGAAGAACUCCGAUUGCGAAGGCAGUUCACUGGACUGCAACUGACACUGAGGCUCGAAAGUGUGGGUAUCAAACAGGAUUAGAUACCCUAGUAGUC